UCGUUAAAAUGUUUGUGAACUUAUG
rnacentral:miRNA from 1 species